rnacentral:lncRNA from 1 species
CUUUCAUCUUCUAAUGAACUCCGUUGUUAUGAUGAAGUCCUUAGGACUAUUUAAGUUCGAUAAAGAGAGGAUUUAUUGAUUAGUCCUUAAAACUGUUCACGACCAAAUGAUAGGCUGUUAAUAAGGACAACAGCUUCUAUCGAGCAUAGGUUGCUGUAGGCCAUAUGGGUUGGUUGUCAUCUUAACCAAGGAGUGUGGAGAUACUGAUAUGGCAUACA